UGAGUGAUCAUAAACUAGACGAGUCAAGAGUGAAUCAGAUCUGUGAUCUACUGAAGGACAAACACUGUCGCAUCAACACACUCAUUCUGAGUAAAAAUAAACUAGAAGAUUCAGGAAUGAUGAAGAUCUCUGAUCUGUUGAAAAAUCCACACUGCAGACUACACAAACUAGAUCUGACAGAGUGCAGUAUUGGAGAAGAAGGUUAUAAAUGUUUAUGUUCAGCUGUGAGAUCAAACCCUGAAUCACAUCUGAUAGAGCUGGAUCUCAGAGGAAAUGAUCCUGGAGAAACAGGAGUCAAACUCAUCGAUCAGUUAA